GGGUUAAAGGAAGAAGUACCGCUCCGGCACAGCGCCUUCACCUCACCGCAGAUUCUGUCAACCUACUGAAUCGCUAAUUAUUGUUGGACUUGGAGAAAAAUGGGAAGACAAACUGAAUUUGUGACGUUACAAAUACUGCCGGUGAUUUGGGAGACCCUUCAUCGAAGAAAAAAAUAAAUCAACCAGAGUACAAGCUCAA